rnacentral:rRNA from 1 species
UACGUAGGGUGCGAGCGUUGUCCGGAAUUAUUGGGCGUAAAGAGCUCGUAGGCGGUCUGUCGCGUCGAAUGUGAAAACCCGAGGCUCAACCUCGGGCCUGCAGUGGGGUACGGGCAGACUAGAGUGCGGUAGGGGAGAUUGGAAUUCCUGGUGUAGCGGUGGAAUGCGCAGAUAUCAGGAGGAACACCAAUGGCGAAGGCGGGUCUCUGGGCCGAUACUGACGCUGAGGAGCGAAAGCGUGGGGAGCGAACAGG